ACAAGCUAGCAUAUGCAUCACCAAAACUAUCGAUCCGGCGGCGUAACCCUAAGCCCUUUUCCCCGCCCACCCCGGACCAAUCAAAGCUCCAUAUCUCCUCGCCUUUAGAAACUGCCGCGACUAAAUCGGGUGCUCCAUCUCGGCUUCUACCAAAUGCAAACCCCCCUCCAGGAAACUAAUUUUUCUAAACAGGAUUUUAAGGAGUGGGACGUGUGUGAGGAGGAGAUUGAGAUGUAAUCCUGUUUCGCAGCUGCCAAGGCGAGAUGCGAUUGUGGAUUGGAAUCAUGUUUCUAGGUUGAUUUCGACGGUAUGUUUUGCGGAUGAAAAUAGUUACGGGUUGGAUUUUGGGGCAUGAAUUUAGGCGAGGUUACUAAGGAUUUAUUGGUUCCAAUUAUGAGAAGCAUUUGAUAUAGACUUUAGUGUCAGUUUUUGUGGCUCUGAUGCGCACUUCUCGGGUUUGUAAGAGUUGAGAUUUUCUGGAGCGUCAGGGUUGGUGCAACUCUAACUGGCUUUAGAGUGACAUAUGGACAGUUUAUUGGGAUUUGGGAGAUACAUGAAGUGGCCAGUACAUAACCUUCAACACAAAGUCAUAUUUUAGUGAAACAAUAACAUUAUUUGUAUAGCUGGGAUUUCUGUUGAUUCUUUUUCAUGCAAGUCUCACAUUUAUCACUACUAUUGGUGAUGACGAAUUUAAUGUUUGAAGUGGAGUUCAAGCCCUGCAGAUCUGGUACUCUAUAGGCUUGUAUUUAGGUGCAUCUUAAUUCAGCUCUACAUAAGUCAAGAUAAGAUGCAUUAUAGUUUAUAGAAAACACUUGUGGAGCCAUCAGUAUGUCAGCUUCAGUUUAGCUUUCGGUUUAAAACAAGUAUUUAUCAUUUUGACUUUUUUUUUCCUUGCAUCAGAAAACCUAAUUAUGUAUUGUUUAUCAUUUCUUCAGCAUGAUGGUUACUUUUUGGCAGAAAUGUUAUUAUAUUUUGUUGUUUUGUAA